rnacentral:misc_RNA from 1 species
AAGUCGUAACAAGGUUUCCGUAGGUGAACCUGCGGAAGGAUCAUUAACACUUAUUAUUAUCCAAUAUAAAUAAAACCAAACGCGAACAUAUCUCAUCCCUAAUUCGUUAUAAACCGGAGACGGUACGAUUAGGCUAACAAUUUUUCUAUAAUUUUUAACCCCAUUAAAUAUGAUUAUUAUUAUUUUAUUUUAUUAUAAUAACAAUCACUAUCAACUCUUCGUUUACAUGUUUUUAUUAACACACAACAACGAACUAAACUAAAAUAUACAUUUGAUCUAUAUUUUUAUUUUACGAAAUAAUAUAUAUUUAUUAAGAACAACUCUUAGCAAUGGAUAUCUUGGUUCUC